rnacentral:rRNA from 1 species
UAGGGAAUCUUCGGCAAUGGGGGCAACCCUGACCGAGCAACGCCGCGUGAGUGAAGAAGGUUUUCGGAUCGUAAAGCUCUGUUGUAAGUCAAGAACGAGUGUGAGAGUGGAAAGUUCACACUGUGACGGUAGCUUACCAGAAAGGGACGGCUAACUACGUGCCAGCAGCCGCGGUAAUACGUAGGUCCCGAGCGUUGUCCGGAUUUAUUGGGCGUAAAGCGAGCACAGGCGGUUUGAUAAGUCUGAAGUUAAAGGCUGUGGCUCAACCAUAGUUCGCUUUGGAAACUGUCAAACUUGAGUGCAGAAGGGGAGAGUGGAAUUCCAUGUGUAGCGGUGAAAUGCGUAGAUAUAUGGAGGAACACCGGUGGCGAAAGCGGCUCUCUGGUCUGUAACUGACGCUGAGGCUCGAAAGCGUGGGGAGCGAACAGGAUUAGAUACCCUGGUAGUCCACGCCGUAAACGAUGAGUGCUAGGUGUUGGAUCCUUUCCGGGAUUCAGUGCCGCAGCUAACGCAUUAAGCACUCCGCCUGGGGAGUACGACCGCAAGGUUG